rnacentral:rRNA from 1 species
GACGAACGCUGGCGGCGUGCUUAACACAUGCAAGUCGAACGGAAAGGCCCUGCUUUUGUGGGGUGCUCGAGUGGCGAACGGGUGAGUAACACGUGAGUAACCUGCCCUUGACUUUGGGAUAACUUCAGGAAACUGGGGCUAAUACCGGAUAGGAGCUCCUGCUGCAUGGUGGGGGUUGGAAAGUUUCGGCGGUUGGGGAUGGACUCGCGGCUUAUCAGCUUGUUGGUGGGGUAGUGGCUUACCAAGGCUUUGACGGGUAGCCGGCCUGAGAGGGUGACCGGCCACAUGGGGACGGAGAUACGGCCGAGACGCCUCCGGGGGGAAGCAGUGGGGAAGAUUGCACAAUGGGGGGAAGCCUGAUGAAGCAACGCCGCGGGGGGGAUGACGGAGUUCGGGUUGUAAAACGCUUUCGCCGGUGACGAAGCGUGAGUGAGGGUAAUGGGUAAAGAAGCACCGGCUAACUACG